rnacentral:rRNA from 1 species
GACGAACGCUGACGGCGUGCCUAAUACAUGCAAGUAAAACGCUGAAGGAGGAGCUUGCUUCUCCGGAUGAGUUGCGAACGGGUGAGUAACGCGUAGGUAACCUGCCUGGUAGCGGGGGAUAACUAUUGGAAACGAUAGCUACUACCGCAUAAUAGCAGUUGUUGCAUGACAACUGUUUAAAAGGUGCAACUGCAUCACUACCAGAUGGACCUGCGUUGUAUUAGCUAGUUGGUGGGGUAACGGCUCACCAAGGCGACGAUACAUAGCCGACCUGAGAGGGUGAUCGGCCACACUGGGACUGAGACACGGCCCAGACUCCUACGGGAGGCAGCAGUAGGGAAUCUUCGGCAAUGGACGGAAGUCUGACCGAGCAACGCCGCGUGAGUGAAGAAGGUUUUCGGAUCGUAAAGCUCUGUUGUAAGAGAAGAACGAGUGUGAGAGUGGAAAGUUCACACUGUGACGGUAUCUUACCAGAAAGGGACGGCUAACUACGUGC